AUGCUGGAGGAUGUUGGGAAUUAUUGGGAAUUAUUUGGGAAUUAUUGGGAAUUAUUGGGAAUUAUUUGGAAUUUUUGGGGUUUAUUGGGAAUUAUUGGGAAUUAUUUGGGAUUUAUUGGGAAUUAUUGGGAGUUAUUUGGGAUUUAUUGGGAAUUAUUGGGAAUUAUUGGGAAUUAUUUGGGAUUUAUUGGGAAUUAUUGGGAAUUAUUGGGAAUUAUUGGGAAUUAUUUGGGAUUUAUUGGGAAUUAUUGGGAAUUUUUUUUUAUUUUUUGGGAAUUUUUUGGGAAUUAUUGGGAAUUAUUGGGAAUUAUUUGGGAAUUAUUGGGAAUUAUUUGGGAUUUAUUGGGAAUUAUUGGGAUUUUUUUUUUAUUUUUGGGGAAUUAUUUGGGAAUUAUUGGGAAUUAUUUGGGAAUUAUUGGGAAUUUUUUGGGAAUUAUUGGGAAUUAUUUGGGAUUUAUUGGGAGUUUUUUGGGAUUUAUUGGGAAUUAUUGGGAAUUUUUGGGAAUUUUUUGGGAUUUAUUGGGAAUUAUUGGGAAUUAUUGGGAAUUAUUGGGAAUUAUUUGGGAUUUAUUGGGAAUUAUUGGGAAUUUUUUGGGAAUUAUUGGGAAUUAUUGGGAAUUUUUUUUUUUUUGGGAAUUUUUUGGGAAUUAUUGGGAAUUAUUUGGGAAUUAUUGGGAACUAUUGGGAAUUAUUUGGGAUUUAUUGGGAAUUAUUGGGAAUUUUUUUUUAUUUUUUGGGAAUUUUUUGGGAAUUAUUGGGAAUUAUUGGGAAUUAUUUGGGAAUUAUUGGGAAUUAUUUGGGAAUUCUUGGGAAUUAUUUGGGAAUUAUUGGGAAUUAUUGGGAAUUAUUUGGGAAUUAUUGGGAAUUAUUUGGGAUUUAUUGGGAAUUAUUGGGAUUUUUUUUUUAUUUUUGGGGAAUUAUUUGGGAAUUAUUGGGAAUUAUUUGGGAAUUAUUGGGAAUUUUUUGGGAAUUAUUGGGAAUUAUUUGGGAUUUAUUGGGAAUUUUUUGGGAAUUAUUGGGAAUUAUUGGGAAUUUUUUUUUUUGGGGGGAAUUUUUUGGGAAUUAUUGGGAAUUAUUUGGGAAUUAUUGGGAAUUAUUGGGAAUUAUUUGGGAUUUAUUGGGAAUUAUUGGGAAUUUUUUUUUAUUUUUUGGGAAUUUUUUGGGAAUUAUUGGGAAUUAUUUGGGAUUUAUUGGGAAUUAUUGGGAAUUUUUGGGGUUUACUGGGAAUUUAUUGGGAUUUAUUGGGAAUUACUGGGUUUUUUUGGGAUUUUUUGGGAAUUACUGGGAUUUUUUGGGAUUUUUUGGGGGGAAUUAUUCAGGAUUUAUUGGGAUUUAUUGGGAUUUAUUGGUGUUUUUUUUUAUUUUUUGGGAAUUAUUGGGUUUUAUUGGGAAUUUUUGGGGUUUACUGGGAAUUUAUUGGGAAUUACUGGAAUUUUUUGGAUUUUUUGGGAUUUUUUUGGAAUUAUUGGGAAUUAUUUGGGAUUUAUUGGGAUUUUUUUGAUUUUUUGGGAUUUUUUUUGGGAAUUAUUGGGAAUUUUUGGGGUUUACUGGGAAUUUAUUGGGAUUUAUUGGUUGGGGUUUACUGGGAAUUUAUUGGGAUUUAUUGGGAAUUACUGGGAUUUUUUUGGGAUUUUUUUGGGAAUUCUUGGGAUUUUGGGAUUUUUGGGAAUUAUUUGGGAAUUAUUGGGAAUUAUUUGGGAAUUAUUGGGAAUUAUUUGGGAUUUAUUGGGAAUUUUUGGGAUUUACUGGGAAUUUAUUGGGAUUUAUUGGGUAUUACUGGGAUUUUUUGGGAUUUUUUGGGAAUUCUUGGGAUUUUUUUGGAAUUAUUGGGAUUUUUUGGGAAUUAUUGGGAAUUAUUUGGGAAUUAUUUGGGUUUUAUUGGGAAUUUUUGGGGUUUACUGGGAAUUUAUUGGGAUUUAUUGGUAA
rnacentral:lncRNA from 1 species